GCGACUUUAGCUCAGUUGGAAGAGCGUCAGACUGAAGCCCCACUUCGGUCAUUCAUCUGAAGGCCUUAUGUUCAAUCCACAAAAGUCGCA